CGCGCGGAGGAACCGGGAGCGCCAGCUCAGUCACCCCACCGCCCCACCCCGCGCAUGCUCCCAAGAGCCCCAGACCACCCUUCUCAGGCUUCCCAGAUAUUUCAUCCCUUGCUUCUCCUGGCCCACCACUCAGUCCCCCAACUCUAGGACGACAGAGGUUAGGGAUAAGGGGAAUGAGACACCCGCCUUGGCUGCAGCAUUCAAAGUAAAAACUCCUUGAAGAAAAGAUCCUUCAAUUUGGCUUUUUGUGAGAUGGAAACGAUUACACUUUGUCCUGCAAACUUCCCCCCUUUAAAGGUGAAGGUUUGUUAGGUUAGUUAGGCUGUGAGAAAACUGUGCAUUCUUAGCAAUCAAAGGCCAGACAUCUGGGGGUACAGGUGGGAGGAAGACUAGGAUAAGAGACUCCAGAUGGGGACAGAAUUAAAAGAAAAAAAAAUUAAAUAA
rnacentral:sRNA from 1 species